rnacentral:rRNA from 1 species
GACGAACGCUGGCGGCGUGCCUAACACAUGCAAGUCGAGCGGAGUCGAUCGACGGAAGCCUUCGGGCGGAAGAUGGUUGACUUAGCGGCGGAUGGGUGAGUAACGCGUGGGCAACCUGCCUCGAAGACCGGGAUAACAGCCCGAAAGGGCUGCUAAUACCGGAUGUGGUCAAGGAUCCGCAUGGAUUUUUGAUUAAAGGGGAAACCCGUUUCGAGAUGGGCCCGCGUCCUAUCAGCUAGUUGGUGAGGUAAAAGCUCACCAAGGCGACGACGGGUAGCCGGCCUGAGAGGGUGACCGGCCACACUGGAACUGAGACACGGUCCAGACUCCUACGGGAGGCAGCAGUGAGGAAUUUUGCGCAAUGGGGGAAACCCUGACGCAGCGACGCCGCGUGGAGGAUGAAGGCCUUCGGGUCGUAAACGUCCUGUCAGAGGUGAAGAAUACCCGCAAGGGUUUGACGGUAACCUCAGAGGAAGCCCGGCGUAACUACGUGCCAGCAGCCGCGGUAAAGUACACGUCG